rnacentral:rRNA from 1 species
UACGAAGGGGGCUAGCGUUGCUCGGAAUCACUGGGCGUAAAGCGCACGUAGGCGGUUUGUUAAGUCAGGGGUGAAAUCCUGGAGCUCAACUCCAGAACUGCCUUUGAUACUGGCGAUCUUGAGUCCGGGAGAGGUGAGUGGAACUGCGAGUGUAGAGGUGAAAUUCGUAGAUAUUCGCAAGAACACCAGUGGCGAAGGCGGCUCACUGGCCCGGUACUGACGCUGAGGUGCGAAAGCGUGGGGAGCAAACAGG